rnacentral:rRNA from 1 species
AACGAACGCUGGCGGCAUGCCUAACACAUGCAAGUCGAACGAGACCUUCGGGUCUAGUGGCGCACGGGUGCGUAACGCGUGGGAACCUGCCCUUAGGUUCGGAAUAACUCCCCGAAAGGGGUGCUAAUACCGGAUAAUGUCUUCGGACCAAAGAUUUAUCGCCUUUGGAUGGGCCCGCGUUGGAUUAGCUAGUUGGUAGGGUAAAAGCCUACCAAGGCGACGAUCCAUAGCUGGUCUGAGAGGAUGAUCAGCCACACUGGGACUGAGACACGGCCCAGACUCCUACGGAGGCAGCAGUGGGGAAUAUUGGACAAUGGGCGAAAGCCUGAUCCAGCAAUGCCGCGUGAGUGAUGAAGGCCUUAGGGUUGUAAAGCUCUUUUACCCGGGAUGAUAAUGACAGCACCGGGAGAAUAAGCUCCGGCUAACUCCGUG